GCCAGCGCGCAGGGCUCCAAGCAGCUGCGACUAGCGGAAAGCGCGCGCCAGCUGCACGCAGGGAAACAGUUCUCAUUUUGUGUGCUCGGCUGACUGCACGUCCAGCCUCGGGCCAGCUCGAGACGGCCACAUUGCCUGGUUGAAGAUGGCUGAGCGUAAAACAGAAUGCAAGUCAGCUGGAGCACGUACUACUGGAGGCAGAGCCCCAUGAGAAGGGGCCAAGAACCCGCACCCAUCAAAAUCAAGAAGAAAGGCUGAACCCGGAGAGAAAAGGGAGCAACUGAUGUUGCCAUGCAGAUCCCUUGGUUGCUAUGAGAUGGUAACAUCACUCUGCCCCACCAUUGGCCAGUGCCUCCUCAGCUGCGGUGCCUCCCAGGCUGUGUGGUUCUCACGCGGGCCACUGACACAGAGCUGUUACUAUGGUGAACUUUACAAUUUCCUUUGAUUGGUGGAUUUCAGAAAUAGGCCAUCAGCGGAAUUCAUUAUAUUCAGCUAAGUAAAAAUGAAAAAUAAAUACUAUAACUUUCCCCUCAUCACUAACAUGAAGGAAACGUGACCCUUCAUGACAUAAUAAAUCGCUGUUCGGUAACUUAGGAUCCUUCAGGGGACUGAAGCGGGAUGAUCCUCCUAUGCCAAAUUUGGGUGGGAAAGAUAUUCCCUGUAGCUUUGAGUCGACUCUUCAGAGUUAAGGGCAGUGGGCCAACCAGAGUUGGAACUUCAGAGUUGGGAGGAGGUGUGGGAUGGGGCAUGCAUUGAAAUGUAAACUCUAUUGUCUCUGAAGUGAUGGGUGAUGCUGGGGGCCUGAGUGUGGAGGGCAGUUUUACAUCUCAGGACAAUGUUUUCUCAGAUGCUCUUCCAGAAAGAAAAGCCAGGAGUACUCCUGGCUGGAGGCGGCAUGCCUGAGGUCAGAGUCAAAGUAGGGUUUGUGCUGUCUGAAUCCUUUCUCCCACUCUCCCCAGCCUGGCUCAGCUUCUCAGCUUCUCAGGUGGAUUGGUGAGUCCUGGCCAAUUACGCUUCAGCUCAUCUCUACUCUCAGCAAAUAGGAAAAGGGAGUGAAGGACUGAGUUUUAACUCUUCUAAUUUCGUAACCUGACUCUCUAUAAGAAAAAGUAGGAGAAAGACUGAAGAACCCGAGAGAACAGGCCUCUGAGCCCAAGCCAAGCCAUCGCAUCCCCUGUGACUUGCCCGUAUAUAUGCCCAGAUGGCCUGAAGUAACUGAAGAAUCACAAAAGAAGUGAAUAUGCCUUGCCCCACCUUGACUGAUGACAUUCCACCACAAAAGAAGUGUAAAUGGCCGGUCCUUGCCUUAACUGAUGACAUUACCUUGUGAAAGUCCUUUUCCUGGCUCAUCCUGGCUCAAAAAGCACCCCCACUGAGCAUCUUGCGACUCCCACUCCUGCCCACUGAGCACCUUGUGACCCCCACUCCUGCCUGCCAGAGAACAAACCCCCUUUGACUGUAAUUUUCCUUUACCUACCCAAAUCCUAUAAAACGGCUCCACCCUUAUCUCCUUUUGCUGACUCUCUUUUCUGACUCAGCCCGCCUGCACCCAGGAGAUUAAAAGCUUUAUUGCUCACACAAA
ensembl:lncRNA novel transcript, antisense to PELI1